UCAUUAAUUGGAGGUGACCUGGUGGGAAAUACUUUUUAUAUUCUGUACCUAGUGGUAAAAAGCUCUUUUCCCUUUUACCAUGAAACAGCGCUGUCCACGUGUGUGUGUGUGUUUUGAAGGAAUCGGAGGACUUUGAGGUUCGGGAGGUUUUGCGAUUUCAUGGAGACAGGUCAAGAAUUAGGGAACAGAUACUCAUAAGUGAUUGCACUCCCAAGACAUUGCAACAUAUGGUGGGCUUUGUGGGCUUGCAAGUUUUGACAGAACAGAGCUGAAGGCAUCUAUACCAUGUCUAUUACUAUUGAAUAGUUCCUAUGAAAUAUAGUGGUUUGGAGUUAUGUUCCUGAUUAGUUUCAUUUAUUUGGGAGAAAUAAUUCAUAGACAAUUUCAACUUCCGGAAUUUCUUAGAUUUUUUUUUUCCUUCGCGGUAUAGUUAGUAGGGUGUGUUAGGUUAGCACAUGGGGGGUGCAGGGACUAUCCAUAGCCCUGUCCCCAAACCACCCACGGAGGGGCUCGAACCUCCAUCUCCUGAAGGAAGGGAGUGGUAGGUCACCAACUGCACUAGGCAGUGGUUCCUAAUUUCUUAGAGUUAGUCCCCGAAGUUAGGAAGCUUAUUCACAAUUUUUAUUCAAGGUAGUUUGCUAUGUCUUUGUUCGUUUGAGCAUGUCCAUGUUGCUAGGUACCAGGCAUUCUGAUUUACCUUUGCGUUUUUGUCUUA